AGGGGGUUCGCCAAGUGGUAAGGCAUCUGGUUUUGGUCCAGACAUUCGGGGGUUCGAAUCCCUCACCCCCUGCCA
rnacentral:tRNA from 1 species